CUCCUUUUGAGAGCUUUCCCUUGCAAUCAUAGAAUCUUCUGUUGCUGGGUCGAUGAAAACGACGGGGCGUUCCUGCUGAUAGAGGCGGCCGGUUUUCUCCCGUAUUGGCGAGUCCUGAGAACAGGGGGGGGCUGCACAUUCUGCUGUGAGAGACCGAAGAGCAGCAGUGGGAGCUAUGUGCUGAAUGCCUAACCAUCUCAGAAGCAUUAGAAUUGUUAUUUGCCCAUUCAGAGGAUUUCCUUGCUGCAGAACCCAUUCAAAGAGCUGUGUAUAAACACAUCAGUGGCUAUGCUGAGAAAAUCCAGGCCUCUUAAUAUUGAGAGCACAGCAAGCAUUGUGGCAGUGCUGAAACAACACCCAUUGUUGGCGGCUGCAGCAGUCCAGGACUUCUACCUGCAGAAUCCUGCUGAUGUGCAGCCUGUGCAGCAGAAGUUUGCCCCAGGCAGGAGCAAUGGAUACGUGCUGCUCCUUCUGUCCCACCCCUCAGCACAAGGACCAUGAGCUGGGCAUGAAGCUGCGAGAAGUUUGAAUAGCAGUCGUCAUGAAAUGUGGCUGUGAAAAGCAAGUGGAUGAAGAACGGCAUACAUUCCUGCUUGUGUGUUGGAUUGAAUAGGGAGAAAUGCAAGGCUCUGCGGAGUACUUUUAAUUAUUGCAUAUGACAGAAUGUUACUUCCAGCAAUCUGUUAAUAAGCUAGAAAGCUCUGAAGUGUGUCCUGGUGAUGAAAACUUGACACUGCUAUGGGCAACAUUUGAUGUGAAUGAACUUGAGAGAAGCGGCUUGUCUUCCUCCAGAGGAUGGGGAGCAGGAUGAUGGGGAUGGACUUUUUUUCCCAUUGCAAACAGUUAUUUGUGGUGAGAGAGGGGCAACUGUACCGUCUCUUUGCCUACUUCUGUCGUGUCCUGUGGCUGCUGGGUUUGUUAUUCAUGGGCAGUCACUUCUGGUUGAUGCAACCAGUUCAUUUAUAAUAAGCCGCAAAGUCUAGAGUUCUUAAUUGGCAAGAUAUGCAAUCCAGUUUCUGAUUUGAUAGCAGUAGGUCAGGAACAUUGUGCAUACAUACACCAGAUCAAGUACUUUGUGUUGACUGUCAGAUGGAAAGUUUUAAAACAUAUGUAAAACCAAUUCCCUGCUAAUACAAAGCUUAACUAGUAUGUGGUCCAUUCUGAUGGCGACAGUAGUUGUGGUUUGUAUAUGAUUUGUCUUGAUGAUGAAACUUUUUCUUUGUAAUUACUACAGGCAAGUUCUGUUAAAGCAACUACAUCUCAAAAUGCUGGCCUUGAUUCUCGAGAGGAAUAUGCUGGGCUGACACCAGUUGAUGUGGAUAUGAACCUAGUAACUAACCUGCUUGAAUCUCACAGAGCUCAGGCUGGGCUGGCAGGACCCACCUCUAACAUUUUACAGAGCAUGGGCGUGUGUUUAGCUGAAAUUACAGAUAGGAUUGGUUCUAGUGAAGGUGCAACAGAAUAAGAGGCUGUCUCAAUUCAAAAGACAGGACUGUUUGGGAAAAGAGACAGAAGAAGUAGCAGCAUUUGGGAGAAAAGAUGAGGUCUGAAUUUAAAGCAUUUUAUAUAUGUGUUGUGUGGAUUUAAAGGCAUAAAGUGAAUUUAUCUGGAAAUGCUGUCUACAUGCAUACUGUCUUAGGAUUAGCAUUUUUUCCAGUAGUAGUAUGCUUUCAGAAAAGUGCAAAAUGAUGUUGUGAGUGGAAUGAAACUCUUGUUACAAAAUGUCUUUAAAGUUGCCAUUCCAAUUUGCCAUAUUUCCAAAAUAUCCUUUAUCCAUAGCAAGGUGCUGUCAAUAUAUGGAAAAUGCUGCUGCAUUCACAGGAAGACAGGAAUCCAUGCGGGAGUUCUCAUGUGGGUUUGGGAGUGCUGAUUCAAUGUUCAUCACAUGUUUAAUUGCUUCUUCAAAAGUAGAAAUGCUGUAUUCUAAAAACUUUUGAUAAUUGUUGUAAGAAUGUUGUUUUCACUCACUAGGAGUGUUUGAGUAAGCUAAUAGAAUAUGUAAAUAGUGCUAUAAUACUGAGUUUAUUUAAAAUAAAAGUACAACUUGAUGGCUGGAGCUGCUUUUUUCUUUGAAGGUAUGCAUGACUUCUGUAGGGAAGUAUUGGAAGUUGUUGGAGUUGAAGCGUUUUCACUACAGGGCCUUUUCUGGAUUCCAUUAUGACUGAGCAUUGGUGGUGUGCCAGCAGUAGCUGUGUAUGAGCUCAGGCUGAACAGCUUAGUUUUGCUGUUCAGGAAAAAUAUAACCUGGAGUUGCUUUCACAUGGAGUGAAUAAUCUAUUCUGGAUAUGAAGACUUAUUUUUAACCAGGUAACUACUAAAGAAAAUACAUAGUAAUUCUUGAUUUGUAGAGAGCAAUUCCGCACAAUUAGUCAAGUGUCUGAGCAGGCAGAAGAGAAGCUCAAUGGUGAGCUUUUGCUGCUGGUGAGCUUUUUUGGAAUGUACUCAGAAAAACAUGAUGGCAGGUAUCAUCAUCUAACUGCUGUGCCAACGAAGUUUGCAACAAAGCACAGAAAAAAAUCUUUGGAAGUGACACAUUGCCAUCAGUCCACUGAAAUUCAAGAGCCUGUCACAAUUUACAUUGAGUGCUUGCUUGCUGACUUUUCAACUGAUCUGUACUAUGGUGGUUUUUGCAGUUUUUUCUAUUUGUUGGGUUUAGUUGUGUUUUUCUACUGUUUCUUGGGUUAGGCUUUUUUUGUUUUGUAAACAAGGAAUGUCUUGUAAAAUGUUCCAGUACAAAUCAAAACCAUGGAGUCUGUAUACCUGAAUGAAAUGAGCAUGAACAAGGAGUGCAGUGGCUGUGCUGUCUCUGCAUUUGGUAUUUGAUGUUGUGUAAGAAUGAGGGGCUACAGUGAUGCAGCUGGAGUUUGAAGAAUUUUGGAUUGCAGAGUAAGGUGAUACGGGGGUUAGACAAACCUAUGCUGGAAUCCAGAAACCAAGAAACAGUUCUUGGAUCUAGCAGGCAAGGAUAACCAGCAGUUAAUACUGGAAAACAGACCUUCUUCAACACUGGAAAUGUGGAAUGUGGAGGCUACCUAACAUUUUCCACUGAGUUGUUAGAUAAAUACUUUCAAAAUGCAUUUGGAUUUGUGAGUUUGGAUUGCCUGUGGCCUGUACUGCACAAGUCAACAAUAUCAGAGGACUCUUUAAAAGUGUUAUCCGAAAACGAAAAACAAAAAACCUGAGCAAGUUCAGAACAAAGCAGCUCUUCUGGAGGCACUCCAGCUGAUCUUGUUUCUUGGGUAAUGACUUCAGUCAACCAAACUGUUAUUUCUGUCAGGUGGCAUUUACUCCAACUCCUUCCAUUUGUUUAGCAGCUUCACAGCAGAGACCUUCAGUACUAUGGAUCUACUCAGUGGAGGAUUUGCCAUCUAGGAAUCAGCACUUGCAUGCUGCCUCUUGCCCUGCUUUGAAGUAGCACACGAGGUGUUUCUGCUUUUAAUUUUGAAAGAAUAGUUUCAGUGAAGGAAUCCUGAUGGAAUCAAUUAGGGAAGACAAGUACAGCGUGUUUCCCUUUCAACGGCUUGCCAUUAAAGUUUCCAUUAUAUUAUGAACUAGUACUUCAUUCCAACUAACUCUAUUCACUUUGCUCACUUGAGCAUCUGAUGUUUGUACAGCUUUGCUUAUCCCAGGACUUCUGACCCUUCCCAGAAAUGCAGUUUCUUUGUUUGUGGCUUAAUUCCUGGAGCCUGGGUUCUGAAUGGAGUGGUUGUUGACUGGUAUGCCGCAAGAAAGAAGACAACAGGUCCUUCCUCUUCUGUAUACCAGAUGGAAAUGAAUCCCAUGAGAUGGUGGAGAUCUUGAACUUGUUCAGACUCCCUGGAACACCUGGCCAUUUUGGCAGCUGCCACUCUUUUCAUCAAUCAGCUCUAUGGAGUAGAGGGGAACUGAAGAAAGAGCACCUCUAACUAAUCACUGUUAGCAGGAGGCAUGCAGUUCAGCUUAGAAGUCAGCAGCUCACAGGCCAGCAAUGCUGUCAGUGUGAGUUCAGCUCCUUUCUGGUCCCUGGGGAGAAGGUGCAGCUUGAGCUGUGCAAAUGCAGCUUUGGUGGUGUUGCCUGCUAUUUGGUGUCUCUGUGCCUGUAAAUAAACCAUUAUCGGAAUCCUUGCUGUAUAAGUAAGCAGAUGGCACCCUCCCCUUUUGCCAUGAAGGAUUGCCACCCUGCAUAGGACUUUUCCCCAUCUUUCCUUGUAAAAUAAGAGUAACAAUUACCUCCAGGGCACGCAUUACUUGCAAUAGCGGACAAAUAAUUUUUACGGAUACUUGCACAGCUCCUGCUGCAGCUAUUUACGUAAUUUGAGAAACUGGAGUUGGUCUUCAAUAGCAGCAGGAGUCAGAGCAGGCCCUUUGUACCACCUCAGGGUCCCAUGGGAUGCUGCAGAGGCUGCAGCAUCAGCUGCUCCUCCCCCUUGGCAUUUCUGUUCUGGAAUGGAACAUAAGUGCAUCUUGGCAAGUCUGAGAUGGAAAUGUAUUUCUUUCCCUUAAGAAAAUACUACUGUGGAGGGCAGUUGGGAUUCUUGGCAUAAACAAGCAAAUACAAAGCCACUUUAAAAAAAUAAAAAUAAUAAUCAGUGAACUGCUCAAGAAUAUGAAGAGUCAGGAGCAUGAAGCUUUGGUUGACAUGUGCUGAGUGUGUUCUCAGCCACUAUCAAGGUUACCACCUUGUAAGGAUGGGUAAGAUUUCCUUACAGAUUCCAGGUGCUGAUAAUAAUAAACUCAAUAGCAAAACCUGUGUCUUUAGGGCACAUAGUUGAGAUUGCCAUUGUGGAUUCAGCUUAUCUUUUGUAUGUACUCCUACUGUAAAAUAUAGAUGAGCUGUUCUGUUGAGGUAAGACAGAAACUAUGUGUAGGUGUAGGAAUACAUGCUGGCUGUGCUUCCAGGCUCAGAGAUUGCCCUGUGACAUGCAGUGUCAUGGGUUCAAGUGUGAGACUGAAAUAUUUCCAGGACAGGUGCUGUAGCUAGGGUAAGAGGAGGAAGGAAACCCAAUGAUGGUGGCCGUGCUGAUCUAAGUUAGCUGAGCCUAGCCCUGAUGUUUUCAAUUUGGUGAGAGUUAUUAACUGUACCUGAGGUUAUAAGGCCAUACUAUAGUUAUAGAGCUGAUGAAGAAUUAAAUGUUAAAUGAAACUAUA
ensembl:lncRNA